rnacentral:rRNA from 1 species
GGCUCAGGAUGAACGCUAGCUACAGGCUUAACACAUGCAAGUCGAGGGGCAGCAUGAAUCAAGCUUGCUUGAUUGAUGGCGACCGGCGCACGGGUGCGUAACACGUAUCCAAUCUACCCAUGGCUCAGGGAUAGCCUUUCGAAAGAAAGAUUAAUACCUGAUGGUUUCAUGAGCCCGCAUGGACUUAUGAAUAAAGAUUUAUCGGCGAUGGAUGAGGAUGCGUCCGAUUAGAUAGUAGGCGGGGUAACGGCCCACCUAGUCGACGAUCGGUAGGGGCUCUGAGAGGAGGAUCCCCCACAUUGGAACUGAGACACGGUCCAAACUCCUACGGGAGGCAGCAGUGAGGAAUAUUGGUCAAUGGGCGAGAGCCUGAACCAGCCAAGUAGCGUGAGGGAUGACUGCCCUAUGGGUUGUAAACCUCUUUUGUUUGGGAAUAAAGUGAGCCACGUGUGGCUUUUUGUAUGUACCUUACGAAUAAGCAUCGGCUAAUUCCGUGCCAGCCGCGGC